rnacentral:rRNA from 1 species
UACGAAGGGGGCUAGCGUUGUUCGGAAUUACUGGGCGUAAAGCGCGCGCAGGCGGCUAUCCAAGUCAGUGGUGAAAGCCCGGAGCUUAACUCCGGAACUGCCAUUGAAACUGUUUAGCUUGAGUAUGAGAGAGGUGAGUGGAAUUCCCAGUGUAGAGGUGAAAUUCGUAGAUAUUGGGAAGAACACCAGUGGCGAAGGCGGCACCCUGGACCAGCACUGACACUGAGGCACGAAAGCGUGGGGAGCAAACAGG